rnacentral:rRNA from 1 species
UACGGAGGGAGCUAGCGUUGUUCGGAUAUACUGGGCGUAAAGCGCACGUAGGCGGCGUCGUAAGUCAGGGGUGAAAUCCCGGAGCUCAACUCCGGAACUGCCCUUGAAACUGCAAUGCUAGAAUCUUGGAGAGGCGAGUGGAAUUCCGAGUGUAGAGGUGAAAUUCGUAGAUAUUUGGAAGAACACCAGUGGCGAAGGCGGCUCACUGGUCCGGUACUGACGCUGAGGUGCGAAAGCGUGGGGAGCAAACAGG